ensembl:lncRNA
GCCACCCACAAGUAAAACCUACUGCAAGCUCACCAGUGUUGCUCAUAUGCUUCUCUAUUUGCUGUCAUAGACGUAGCCUCUACCCUCUGUGACUGUGUCACAGUCAAAACACUCUACUAUCACUUAUUUGUCAAGAUCAUAAAUGAUUAAGUUAAUUUAUAUUUCAAAGGGGCCCUCCAAAGGAACUGUCUUUGUCAUGAUGUGAUUAUCAGGAAGGCCAAAGUCUUUAGUCUCUGCCCUGUGACUUCUUGAGGAUGUGAGGCUGCCUCUCCUCUGAGAACCAACUCAUUCCUUUUCUCUCAAGAUUUCUUAUUUAAUAUCCUUGCCCUGAGCCCAGGCUGUGCUAAUUUGUUACUAACUGGUGAGGACUAAUGCAGAGGAAAUAUAAAGCUGUGAGGUUACAUGACAGUCCUGGGCUUGGUUGUCAGAAGCCACUGUAACCUUUCAUUCUCCCCAGCCUGUAUGGCCACAGCUGUGAUUUCCAAGGUGAGAUGUGAACUUCCUGGAGAUCUGAAGGCUCAGCAGUAAUCCAAAAGAUCUGCAGUCCCUAUGUAUUGUGCUGUAAUUACUUUAUUUAGAUCCACUUUGUUUUAUUGAUCUUUGGUUCCUCCUUGUCAGCUUACUUUUAAUUCUCUCUACCACAUUCCCUUGUCUCUUGCUUGUAGAGGCAACUCGGAGGACUUCCGGCCUCCAGGGCCAAAGUCUCACCAGCACUGCCCUACUGGCGUGUGAGUGCACACUUUUCCUAGUCUCACAGGAGGAGGAUGGCUUCUCCCACCACACACUGCCUCACAGUGCUCUUGUCCUGGCCUGACCUGACUGUCAUGAAGCUUGCUAUGGAUUUUGUACCUGCGCUCUGACUGUUGGGCUGCAUCAGAACUUCUCUGCUCAAGAGAACCCGUUUGCAUCGCAGCUGUGAGCAAGUCCAGCUUCUCUUGUGACACACAGAAAACUGUGAUUCAGCUCAGGUAGCUCUCUUCGUUACAUGAUGACAAAAGGGUGAUGUGUUGCUGGCCCGCUGGGAGGCCACCCACGGCCCUCAGUGUCCCAGCAUGUUCCUGUGCAUGUGAACAUCCCUGAGGCUGCUUCCUGGAGAUGUCUGUCACAUCACACGGGCCAGUUCCACUACGUGCCAGUGAUCCAUGCUAUGGCUUUGGUAUUUCACUUCUGCUGGACGUACUUUCCAGUGCAUCCUGGGAGCAUGCUUGUAUUGCCGUAACUGCAUCCCAUGGGCACCCCAAAUCAUUAAUCACCAGUGUGCUCUUUUCCUCUUCUGCUGGUUCCAGACGAGUUCCCAGUUCAUAGCGUAAGUUCCUGCUGUUAAUCCAUAAGCCAUAACCUUUAUAUUGGGUACUGUUCAACACAAUUAGAUUUCUGUUACAUGAUGUUCUUUCCUGCAGUUAAACAUGACUUGCUUUACUUAUGCAGCCAGCCUCAGGUGAGAUUUAAUUGUAACCUUGGGGUUCAAGCUCUGUGCUUGCAUACCACUCUGUGAACCUGCCGGCCCACCAACCCAUCACCCGUACUCAUCUCAAUACAUGAGCAAUCAUCCACAGCUCUCUGCAGCCUUGUUUUGUGGGGCUGAGCACAGAGCAUGCAGCCAGAAGAGUUGUUCAAUGCUGGCAUGGCCAAGCUGAGGCUGAACAUCAGCCCUGUCCAAAGGACCCACUCUUUCCAGAGCAAAGAAACUCUUUCCAUUAGCCAAAGAAUGAAUCCAGGAUGGCUGGGAGUCAGGUCACCCUGACUGCAAUGUAAACAUGGUACCUGCUCUGGUGCAAGCUGCAAUGGAAAACAAAGGCACAAUAGACCAGACAAGGUCAUUACACACAAUUUGAUCCAAUUAUAUAUCUAAACCCACGGCUCUUUGUGCUGUGAGUUUGAUUUUGUGCUGAGAGGCAGAGAAAGCAGCCUUAUAUAUAAUGGAGCAGCGCUGGGCACUGAGUGCUUUGGUGCCACAAGAGCAUGACAGUAAGAGAAAUGCCUGGGGAAGUGAAUCAAUAGCAGCAGGCCGGCCAGCUGCAGGGUGAGGACGGGGUAAAUUGCUGGAAGAAACUUUCCCAGCCACCAGACAAGUUGGGAGAACAAUACAAAGAACAGGAUGUGAGGCACUUCCCGGCACUGGCGACUCUGCGCCAAGGAGCGCGGCCGCUUCCAGGGCUAUCUUUAUACCCCUGUAAUCUGGAGACGUUUUCUAACGUUUUCUCUCAAUUUCUGUGCUCGUUGGGAAGCUGCUGUUUCUUUUAGCUCUCCUUCAGAGAGCCAAUCCUCGCUGCAAAAAUACGAGGCCGCGUUCCUCCACCCUUCCGAUCGAUGCCACCCCUGGCAGAUCUCUGAGCAAGACUGGGAAUAGGCCAGUUCCCCCUCUGGCAUCUGGUUGAUAGAGCAAUGCCCACGCUUUUUUGCUUUUUCCCAUCCCUCUCCCUCCUCCCAUCCCUGAGGGAUGGAGACAUUUGUUGCUUGUUCUGAUGUCUGUUACCAGCCACUCUCAUCUCCAUGCGUAGAUCCCAUAGAGGUGCUUCUCCCUCGAAUAUCUGAGCCAUUGCAAGUGAAAGAAAAACAAAACGCGGCCCUGUGAUUUUCCUCCCUGCUAUCAGGAAACAGGUUUGUUUGUUUUUUAAUGAAUGCAAAAGAAUGCAGAUAGCGGAGAGGAAAAGCCUGGGCUCUGAGCUCUGUGUUUCUUUAUUUAGGCUCCUCCAUGUGCAUCAGCUGAGCCCAGCAGGCGGCAAAGCAAGAGGUGGAUGUUAUUUCAGGAAAAGCCUGGCCCCUUGGGCUUGAGACAGAGCAGCAUCCCAGGCUGCAGUCCCCUGGCUCCUGUUGCACGUAGGGAAUUUGGGUGGAAGAAGGAAUCCCAGAAAUGUGGCUUUUCUCUUCUGUCCUCUAGGUUUUGCAGAGCAGGUGUACCCAGGGCAGCUCAGUUCUACUGGGACAGGUCACCGGGUACUGCGUGGUCUGGUAUUUCCCACUGCUUUGGUGCUGGACGUUAAACAGGAGACCAAAGAGCAUUUCUGUGGCAUAAUGUGGGAGAGUGAUGGUGUGUGAUGUGCUGGAGGCUCUGAUGCUCGGGGGAGCGGGGUGUACGCCACGUGGGAGAAGCAGUAGUGCCCCGUGGUUGUGCUAGGUGGCAUGGGCUGAAUGGCAGCAAAAGGCUCCUUCCAGCCGCAGGCACGCUGCAGUGCUCUCUGGAAACCACAGCUGAAAUCACAGUCACAUUGAUGUCAACACCAAAAAGGAAAAACAAACAGCAAAGCGAUGUGACAGACUCAGCACAAUAUUUCUCUUGACUUACUGAUCAGCACUUAAUGCUGGUUUUAGGUGUUUCUAGCUCACUGUAAGUCCAAUUCUAGUCUCAAAACAUCGUGUCAGCAUGAAAAGUAGGAGUGCAUCACAUACAGAGAGCUGAUUAGACUUUUCAUUUUAUUCAAAUGUACAUAUUUUGGCCACAGCUCCUUGCUGAAUUCAGCACAGAUGCAGGUUUGGUCAGCCUGAACUUGCAUCUAUCAGUGCUUAAAACAUUCAUCACACUGUUUUUUACCUGGCCGUAGCCAUGAUGUUGUGUGAAGCACUGUUUCACUAUACAUGGGUAGCUAGGGCACAGCUGUUCUUUGGGAUAUGAGCAGCUCUGAGGUAGGUCACCUUUACCUCUAAAACCAGUACUCAUUUGCACUUUGUAAAGCAUAUUUCCUCCUCAGUCACGCAGGAUUUUUUGCUUCUUUAGAAGUAUUUCUUUUGUAGCAGAUUUUUAUGCAGAUUUUUAUGCAAUAACUUAUUACUAGGUUGUUUUCUAUUGAUGCGGAGAAAUCUUUCAUGCAAUUUGCAUCCCAUUAACAGCUUCAUAAGAGAUGAUCCUGAUUCUAAUAGCUCUGCACAAUAAGCCAAUAAAGCCAAAUAUGGAAGGGAUUAUGAAGUGCAUUGCUGUUAUACCCGCAAAAUGGCUCAUCCUUUCAAAAUAGAGGCAUUGACUCCUCUGACACCGAAGGUUAGUCCUAAGAGUUACAACUAUCUGGUAUUUUUUCAGCAGUGCUUUGACUGCCUUUUAUCUCCUGUUUUUUGCCCUGUCCGUUUUCUCGCAUUAGCAGCAGUGACCGCAAAACCAAAGCAGAGCCCCAGUCUUCAUGGACUGAUGCCUCACAGGUGGGUGUCAGAUGCAGCCUUCCAGGUGCAAAACACUGCCGGAUUCCAGCACUGUAAUAAAACCAGUGUUACAUCAUUUCUGCAGUGGUGGAACAACAACAGAACCUGCCUUGGGGCAGGUAUAUGCACUAGCCAUUGGCCCUGUCACAAACACCUUCCUGUAGGCAUUUUACACCAUAUACUACAAGUUUCCACCACCUGUAGAACAGGCCAAGAGUCUAUGCUGAGGCUUACGGAGCUGCUCUGAUGCUGCGUGGGCUGGUGGGGAGAAUUACCAGCCGUGGAAAUGAGUUAACUCUCUCCCUGGUGUCAGUCUCAACCUGCUGUCUCAGGGUUUUCCUCCAGUUUCAUAAACCAAGGAUUUGAAGUGAAGGGCAGACAUUAGAAACUGGCCUCCUGCUCAGUAGAGAGAUGGAGGGGAGUGCCUGUGUGGGAAAACUCAUCACUGCAUGAGACCCUGUGCAUUACAUCAGUCAUGUACAGUACCUGUGUGUAAGACAGACAUAGAGGCUUCAUGGCAGUGGUGGUGGCCAGAGUAGCACUCACAUGCUGGGGUCACCAGCAUCUGCUUAUGGGGUAUCCCCUGUCUGUCUUGGCUGGAGAGCCAGUAUGAGUCACCAUGGCCACCACAGGCCACUGCUGCUCCCCACACUCACUUGAGCUGUGCCAAAGCAGCCACGUGGGACAUAAAGAAUGUGGCAGAUUGGGAAGGCAGAGCAAGGCAGCAGCUGGAGACACUACUAAGAGGUGGGAAGGUUUCUGCUCCCGUCCCUCAGCAAGCACAUGCAUAUGCUAUGCUGAUACUUCUGUUUCUUACCGGAGUUGGAAAAUUGCAGCUGUGGUGGAUGAGAUGGUGGGGGAGUGGGAGUUGGGCAGUCUGGUAUGAUGAGAAGCUGGCUCAGAGGAGAAAAGGGGGCUGGUGGGAGAGGGAACAGUAGAGACCCAGAGCAUGGAGGGACCUGCCUAGGGCUCACUUUUCCUUCCAGCCACCAGAUUUUUCCUUGCCUGCUCCUGCUUCUUCUGGGAACAGCACUGGGGUCACUCAGCCAUCUGGCUCCCUCAUGCCCUCUCUUUUCCUGCAGGUCACAGCCUGACGUUCUCACACAUGAAGUAACCGUUCAGGCUCCUGGGAAAUACAUGAGAGGGCUCUUUCUUAAACAGUGGCAAUGCCCAGACCACACUCCUUCCUAGUGUACAUGUAAUGUUGUAUGUGUUGUUAACUAGCUCAGUUGCCUAACAGAGAGAGUUUCCUCUGUCUGCAACAAACAGCACUCAAAAUAAUUUUUUUACCUUCUUUGGUCACACUCAUACAUACUCCUUUUCUAUUUCAAUCGCUCAGCCAUUGUAUGGCUUCAGUGCAUUUGAACCACUCGAGUAUUUUGGUCUGGUGUUUGACUUCAUGGUCAUCAGUGUUGUCUUUAUGCCUCCAUUUGAUUUGGAGGUUGCCUUCAAGUGGACCCAACCACACCAGCUGCUCUCACAGUGCUGAUGGGGUGAAUGCAGUACAAAAGAGCUCAGUGUCACCCCAGCUCAAAGGUCCUCCUCCACCAUCCCUGGCCACCUGGGGAUGCUGCCCUUGUAAUGAUGGGACAAGGUGCUUGGUUCUCAUGUCUGUGGCAGACUUCUGUUCACAGACUGCCAUGGUUGGAGCAGCCCUGCUAUUGCCAGGCCACAGCUGGCCUGUUCAGACUUGGCAUUGGCAGGGGCUAGAUCCCAGCUUUGAUUCUGUAUGAGUACUGGUCAGCCCUGGUAGGAUGUCCUCUGUUUUUUAUGGCCGCCUGCCAGAUGCAUGCUCCUCGUGGGUGCUCUGCUGGCCAUACUUGAGCAGGCCUGGCUUCAGAAGAGGUGGUUGCAGUCACCACCUGGGACAUGGGGUGCCUGUCUCACAAGCUAUAUCUCCUGCCUUCAAAAUGCUCUCCAUGUCCACAGGAUUUUAUACUAAUCCCAGUUUUUGUGCCUCUUAAAUUUCUAGCAUCUGUAGAGUGUAGCUUUACCAAACAUUAAAAGAUAAUUCAGCCAAUUUUAAAAUGACCCUCCCUUGCUUUCUUUUCCCUUCCUUUCAGGAGCUGAGUUUUCCUUUCCUCUGGCUUGUACAUGUUUAAACCAUUGUCUUACUCUUCUACAACCCUUUUAUGUCUAUACCUAGUAAGUACCAGGACCCUGUUGGUCAUAGAUAACAAGGGUUUCCAAAGAGUCUGAAUAUAAAUUGCCUUUUUCUUUGAAGUUUCUGCUUUCAGCUGCUUCCGACUUGACCCUUUCCAUGCUUCUUUUUCUAGAUAUCUCUUUCCUUCCUUCCUCCAUCUUCUUUUCAUCCCCUGAUUUUUUCUCUCAUUUUCUGGAAUUUGUUAUUUCUUCAGACUUGGUUUCUGUUUUCUUCAUUUUCCACUUCUUGUCUCCCCAGUGGCCUCCAAAACCAUCUCUAAUCCACCGCCUUCUGCUUCAGAUAUUUGCACCUUCUGGCUGGUUCUGCUGUCAUCUGCAUGCCCCAGCAGCAUGCAGAAGGGAGGAUGAAGCUUAGCACUUCCUUAUCCGUCAGUCUCACAGCAGAAGCAAGGCACAUUUUCCUCUUCUCUCCAAAGGCAGAGGUACAUGGGAUUUCACCCUGGCAGGGCUUGCCACCUCAAACACCACAUUCGUGUGCACAGAGCUAGCACUCAUCUUAGAAGCCCUUCCAGAGCUGGGCCAGCAUCCAUAGAUUUUUACCUUAAUCAACACAUGUCUUUAAGUGUUGCCCUUUGUAAAGAAUACUUUAGCAAAAUGAUUACUUUCAUUACAGUUGGUGUUCAGUUUUCCAGACACUCGGUACCGUGUGGAUUUAUGUUUCAGACCACAACAGUUGUAAGUCAAACAUUGUGCUCCUCAGUAUAAUUUCCUUUCGCUGUGAUAUUAUUUCUUCUGGGCCUUCUGGUAAUCCUCUCUUAAUAUUUUCCACUGCAGCACUGCAAGGCCCGUGCUGGCAUUGAAAGCUUUUACAUCUGAAAAUCACCAUCCUGCUGGCUGUAAUUAGUGCUGACACGCACACACACAGACUGAUGCCAGGAAGCAGAAGCAUUGUCCUUUAGCCUUACUCAUAUGGAAAGGUCGGAGCUUUGGGGUGGCUUUCUUGUGUGCAGAUGCCUUCAAGCACUGGGAAGCAGGGAGCUGUGGCACUGCUCUUGGUUAAACGACAAGCUCGUCUACCCAAGCAUGUAGCUGUGGCCUUGACAGGUUACAUUUCUGUUUGCAUUGUCACUUCCUAUCAUGCCUGCAGCGGAGGUAACUGUUUGCACUGUCAUAACAUCUCUUCUGCUGGUGCUUCCUGGCCUGCAACACUGCAGAAAUUACCACAGGGUGCAUCGCCCCACUCUCCAGACUCUCGCUUGAGGAUGGCACACAGACAGUCACGAGGCCCCAAGCAGCACAAGCAGCUGUGGAGGCUGCCAGCCUAUGAGCUGCCUCCUGGUUGCCUGUCCUGGCUUUCCUGCCCAAGCUCUAGGCCAUAGGUAGCCUCAUGCCCAGGGGACUACAGCCCUGGAAGUGAGCAUCACUGCACAGCCUCCAAUGGUCACUUGGGGUGGGCUGAUGAACAGGUCCCUCUGGAAGAGGUCCUGAACCAGCUCCUUCUGAGAAGUCCUGAAAACAUAUGAAAGCUAAUAGGCACGAUAGCUGUCAAUAAAAUGCCUUCUGUUAGAUUUCAGAUCAUUUCAGGAAUGAGUACAGAGAGACGGCUGCGUGGUGCCCCUGACGUUGGUGGAAUUUCUUACUUCUCUUGCAGUAAAAGCAAGGCUGCUUGAUGCCAGCGAGAAACAUGUGGCUGUCCAACAUAUUGCCUGAGAUUCACAAAGGGAAUCAUUGGUACUGCUGAUUUCAGGUGUCUUUUAUUAAUACUGAAAAGAAAAAUUGAGCGUUUCCUUUGUACAAUUUGUAAUGCUCUGCUAAUCUGUGUAAUCUGCAGCUAGUGUCCAUUUGUGCUGCGUUUGCAACAAUUUCCCUGCUUUGUCAUUUCCAUCGCAAUACGUAGGUGUUGUCUAUUUUGCUUGUAAGGUCAUCUCAGGCAGUUCUGGUUUGAAAUAUUUGUCCUGCGAGCUUUCCCCAAACAUGUGAUAGUUUCUACUGGCUGCUCUUCUUGUUUGGUUUCUUUUUAUGUCCUUUAUGGGAGGGGAAGUGGAUGAGCUGGGAGGAAAGAUGAAAUGUCCUUUGUGUGCAGUUAGAGACAAGUAUCAUCCCCACACACUGAUGAGAUCUACCCUCACCUUCACGUGCUUCUGCUCCAAGCUGCAACUUGCAUCUACAUCCACCUCUACAGACAUAGAGAUGCACAGGGGACUCCCAGUUGCUGUAUAAUGAAUUGGAUUAUAAUCCCCCCUGGGAGAUCAACCUUACAAAAUGCUCCUCGUCCAUGUCCCUGCAUAUCUACUGGUCCAGGCCCACUACCAGCCCAGUUCCCUGCUGAUGUGAGGAAACCCAGCUCCAGGGAGACACAGUCAGCCACACUAACAUGUGGUACACGUGUGACAUCUCUUCUAACAAAAAUACGGCUAGGCAGUGUUUUAUGUGCCUGGCAUACAUAACUACGUCGCUGUGUCAGUGCACUGAUGAACUUCACUUCAGAGAAGUACAGAGUUAGCAAGAAGACAACAAGUGGUAAAACAAAUGAACAAAGCCAAGCUGCUACGUUUUAUGGCAGUGUAUGAACAUAUCCAAGGCGUUUCUUUAAAAACAUGCUGUGCUCUUACUUGUGCCACGAGCCCCCAUUCUUAGUUAACCUUCAGGCAUUUAAGGUCAGAAGGCACCAUCUGAGCCAUCAGUUCUGCUGUACAAGUAGGAGACUGGGUCAUGAGAAAGGAGAAGUGAAUGAAUCUCAUGAAAAGAGAAAGGAAAUACCUCUGGACUUGAGAUAGGAUUCAGAUGGGAUUGCUGAGGACUACCAGAGUUCCCUCUUUGUGUUUCACUUCAACUGAGAUGGAGUUUCCCUUUCUUGCACUGAGUGCGAGGUCUGUGGGCAGCCAGGGAAACAUCUGCUGCAGACUUGAUGUGAUGAAGUGCAGAAGUCUAAUGUGGCAAAGAGAAGAGACAAGGCUAGAGGAAAAGAGGUUAAUGAGUAGAGAGGAACACAAACCUGCAUGAUAAUAAAAGCCUGGAGGACUUCAGGGGGCAGGCUAAACGUGAACAGGAAGAUGACAGAGCUGCAUUUCUAGGCACCUGAGGGAAGGCAGGGAGUUGUGUUGUGGCUGUCACAGCUAAAAGAUGCAUCGAGGCACAAGCAAGGAUGUCUACAGCAGCCAACAGGAAGCAUUUGACAGACCAGGAGAUUAGAGAGGAGGUUACCAUCAAGGUAAGAGAGGAGAAAGUGUGAGUUUGUAGAAAUUUUGCAUAGCUAUGGUAUUGCUCUGUAAGCUGCAAGAGGAAACCCUUAACAACAGAUUCCCAAAAGCUUGUGAUGAGAUGUCACUUCUGCCAGGGGAAUAAUACGAAGUAGGCUGCAAGCAAAUAAUAAAACCAGCUCAUUUUAUUAAGCUGAAUCAAUUCAUGCUGGUUUUAUGCCUUCCUAUCACCCUCUUUUUCUAACCGAAGCUGUUUCAUUAACUAAAGAUACGAUUACUCUGUUUGGUUCAGUUGUCCUCAGUGUGGAAUGGCCUCCCAUGUUUGAGGUGUUCGGCUGCAGGCUGAGUUGAAUCCUCAAGCUUAUCCAGUCCUGAAACUGUCCUGAACUGCAGUGGCCGAACCUGCACAGUUCAAAUGAAGUCUUCACAGCAUAGACAAGCGGGAAAGAAUUAUUUCCUGUUUCUUGCAGAUUGAACUUCUGUUUGUACACCUCAUUACAGCACUUUCAUUUUUUACUGCAGCAUGACCGUGCUCAUUCAUGUUGAGCUGUCAUCCCUAGAUCUUCUGCAGAACUGCUGCUGUGCCGGUUGUUUCCCAGCCGUCUUUUAGUACUUGAUGACGCCUACGCAACUGCAGAGCUCUGCUUUGUCCCUGCUCAAUGGCGUUUGUUUUCCCCAGCAUUCCUCCAAUUUGUCAAGAUUGUUUUGCAUUCUCAUCCUGUUUCUCCAAAGCGCUUGUUCUCCAUGGUGUCCUGUGCUAAUUUAAUAAGUGUUCCCUACUCUCAUUUCUUCAAAGAUAUUAAUGAAAAUACCGUACACUGCCAGACACAAAACAGAUGGCUUCAGACUUCAUUUGAUACGUACCGCCAGUUUGACAGUGAAGCAUUUAUAACUGCUUUUAGUCUGGUUUUCCAACCAGCUGUACACUCCUCUAAUAGCAGUUUCUUCUAAACCAUGUUUCUUUACUUAGUUUAUGAAAGUGUCAGGUGAGACAAUGGCAAAAGCUUUACUAAAAUCAAGAUCUAAGGCCUACUACAGAAGGAAAUUAGAUUGAUUGGAUGUGAUUUGUUUUUGUCAAAUCAGUGCUCGCUGUUCCUCAUCUGCUUGCUGUCAUCUAGGUGCUGGAAAAGAGCUUAACCAAUUUCCACUUCCAGCAUUUUCCAGGAAUUGAAAUUAAGCUGCUUGCUCUCUGACUCCUUGGGCACCUUUGAGUAGACCAAAGGAAGAAAGUAACAACCAUUUAGGUCUUUGGUAUCGUCACUGAGUAACUCCUCCUUGUGAAACUCAGGUCUUUCUCUGGCCCUCCUUUUACUUCAAGUGCAUAAACUUCACGCCCACUGCUCGUUGCAUCACCUAUAUCUUUUUCAUUUCAUUCCUCCUCUUAGUAACAUGACCUAGUUUGACUUUCUGUCUGCUUCCACUGCACAUCUGAAACUAAUGAAGAGCUCAUGAUUUAAUCACUUUGUACCUUGUGGGCCUCCUGUAGGGCUUGUGCUAAGUUGCCCUGCUACCAAGCAGUUCACAAGCAGUUCUUUACUAUUUCUUCUGUGAUUGUGCCUUCCACACAACUUCCUUACAGCACUGUUAACUCUUCAAAUGUCCUUUCUGCCUCAGAUUUGCCACUUGAAGGUCACUCUCACCCCAGCUGCCUUUCACCUUUGCCUGCAGACCCAAGUUUCCUGUAUAAGUCAGAAUCAAAUACUGCAGAGCAUCUAGUCAGGAAGGAGCUAACUUAAAGAGAUGAUAGCAGCAGUCAGUUCAGGGAAGAGCACAGAAAGAGCACCAGCACAGAGCUAAAUAGAUAUGCUUCUGCAUAUUUAGCACUUAGUUGUGUCAGGAAAAAUUAAUAUUAAUGUUCACAAUUACCUGCCCCCGCCUAUGAACUUGUCAUUAAAUACAGGAGAGCCGGAUAACAGUGGUGAAAACAUUGUGUAAAACUUGAACAGUGAAAGACUUACCAUUGCUGUUUGUCUGUCUUAAGACUUUUUGACGGUAUCUAUUAUAUCUUUGCACAGUGAGGGGGCUUAGACUUUGCAAACAUUUGGAAAUUCUGUGUAAGAAGCAUGCAGUUAGAUCUUUCAUUCAAUUAAGCAUUGACAUUACAGUGUGUUUCCAAUGAUGGGGGCUCAGGCCUGCAAGCACAGCAUCAAGAAGUUCUCACUGAGCCAGAGCUCACUGUGGUCCAUGCUCUUUAAGCACUGUUGAUCAGGGCUUCAGCUUCUCAGCAGCCAACCAAGAUGCUUCAGGCCUUCAGGGACAGAUUAAUCUUUCCAGGUCAGCUUGUUCCUGUGCAUGGUGUGCAUUGUUCCUAGUAAUGUCUUACUCUAGCUUCAUUAAUAGUAGAAAAGCUCUACCUAAAUGUACCUUCCUGCUUAAAACUCCCACUCAGAAAUUUGCUUUGGGAGCACCUUGCCCUCUACUCCUUACUGCCAUCUGUCCAAACCAAUCUGACACUUCCAGGCCAAGGCUGUGCCCAUGCAACCUCCCUGUGCAGUCCUGGAAAAGCUCACCUGAGCAGAGUGAUGUCAAGUUGGCUGCUGGCUGCCAUUCAUAGCUUGAACAUGUUCUUGCAGAAGUCCCUUUACGUGCUGAGCAAUUGGUCCAUAAGCACAGUCGGCACGGCAGUCAGUAACUCUGCUGUGAGUUAUUUUAAUGAUGUUAUUGAUUUCAUUAGCUCCAUUUUGUUUUGCCUCAUGACAUCAACUCUUGGCGCCAGGGUUAAGUGGCAGCUAAUUAAUUCAGUAUAAACGAUGUUUCUUUAUGGGGCAGCCAGGAUCAAAGAGGACUCCUGAAGCUUCCAGGGAUAUCUGCCCAGAAGCUGGGAUGGUUUGUAAAGGAAUUGUUGACUUUGUUUUAACAUCCCAAACAAUCACAUUAGUACAACUUUAUAACUUACUCCUCUCCAUGCACUUCAUAUCACCUCAUGAGAAGAAAAUGUUACAGAAGAGCUAUGAUGAUACAACAAUAGCUGGUAUCCUUGCAGGCACUCCGAUUUCUCUUCUUUAUCUAGCAGUUGGAGUUUGAUAUAUCAUCCAAUGAUUGCUCUUUGAGUCAUUGGAAGCUCCUACGAAAAGAAGAAAAACAAAUUUACAAGCUGCUGUGGUAGUGUCGUAGUCUAACUGAGCAUCCACGGCAUCAGCUGGAGAACUGUCCUGAUGGUGCUCUUGGAAUUUGGGUCAGACUACAUAAUGCUCCAAACAAGCUGUGAAGAAAGCUGCAGGAAGAUCUGAGAGGCAUCCCCAUGAGGACAGGGAUGGGUAAUUAUUUAUUUUUUUAAGCUUGCUCAAAGCCCUGCGCCUACCUGUGGCCUGACUCAAGGCUCCUGUUGGCUUUGGGGAGAGCUGGCCAAAACCAGUAUGUUGGACCCCACUUGUCAUGCUCUUGGCACUUUUGCAGAAGGAGCUGGAAGGACAGCUCACCCCAGCUUGUGUCACAACAGCAGAGAUCAUGUUUGCAUCUGCAAGAGAAGCUGCAGUCAACAACAUGGUGCCAACAGUCUCCAGGUGAAUGCAGCUGGUGUGCUUCUGUUUCACUGAACUUUUAUCUACCAUAUAAUCAUGAAUGGGAGUCCCUCUACAAAGUGGGUCUUCACCCCACUAUUUGCAUUCUAUUUCUCUGUCUAGUGGCACUGUGGCUAUUUUCUUUGCUCCCUGAACUGUCCAGCUUUUCCUUCCUUUUUCCCUUCCUAGCCCCUUCCCUCUUCAUUUCUAUUCCAGUAUGUUUUCACAAGAUGACCUACUGAAUAUUAGUAUCUGGGUAAAGACUACCUCUUUGUGUCAAACCUCUGGCUUCAUCACAACACCAUAAACCACCACUGGAAAAUAAAACAAUAAAGCAGAGGUGUAUGAGGGGUUUCUCAAGUAAGUUAUUUGUGUUGAGCACACGUACAGAUACUUAUUUUACUUUCUCUAUCAUAGAUCAGCUAGUGGGUAUUUUCUUUAGUUGAAAUAUUGGAAAAUAAACUCAGGCAGCCCUGAGAUCUGUCCCAGGUGGCACAGUCAGGGUGCAGGUGGCAUGUUAACCCACUGCUUCUCAUGGUGCAGAAGCCUGGGGCUAUCAAAGUGAAAGAGCAGGCUGUGUGAACGCCUCACCGUGGGUCAUUUUUUCUUGUCAAUGUAUAACCAGACUUAAAAUGUGGUUAGGCAAAUUCCUGCAUAAAAAGUCCUUCGGGGCUCUUUACAACUAGGGAUUUAGCUGGGACUGUACCACUGCCCAACUGCCCUUCGUGUCUGCAUUUUCCUAAGCUAUCAUCCUGGCCCUUCUCAGAGAUGGGGCUGUGAUGUGUCCUCCCAGUCACCUCUGCACACCUCAGUUCUCUGCCUUCCAUCUUCUCCCUGCCUCCCAUCUGGGCACUUCCACGCACUGCGCAACUGCCCUGCUAGCAAACCACUCCAGAGUGAACUUUGUCCUCCGCCACCUGGCAGCAAACCUCUGUGGCAUGAAUUGUCAUGGAUCUUCUGCUUCCAAUGGAAGGUUGACAACCUGUGAAGGAUAUGUCCCACAUUUUUUCCUGAAGGCUUUUUUGAGUUGGAAGGAUCUCUUCAGUUAUUUUUGUCAAAAUGGGAGUGCAUUUUCUCCAUUUUUUUUCUUUAUUCCAGGAAUUCAGUUCUUGUCCGUGUUGAGGAAUGAGGUCAAAGAGCUGGCUUUAUAGCAUGCUGGAGAGAAAAUAACUCCUACUUAAUAAACAAAUAAAUGAACAGUCCCCACUGCUCAGUAGGGUGUGAUACGAGUUCCAAAUUUACGCGUAAAACCUUUCAAACCAUGCAUGACUUUGCUAGCACUGUUGAAAGCGAAAAGCAGGCAUGGAAAAACCUAACUAACUGAAAAUGCAUUUGGAAAUGCUUUCUUAAGGAUAAGAAUCAUAAAAUGCAAACUGGAAUACAAACCCAAUUUCACAAUAUUACAUUGCAAAUUGUUUUGAUUUUGGAAGGAUGCAGAGUGCAGGCUAAGAUCAGCUGCCUGCAUAGGCCAUGUUAUAAUAAAUCACAUUGCAUUUUUCAUCCCCAGAACAAUCUCCAGUGAUACGGUACGUUCUUUAUUAAGAGUGUUCCGCAGCAAUCAGAGCUGAAGGGAAGGAAGGAAAUGGCUUGAAGAACAUGGCAAGAAUCCCUUAAAGUUAAGGGAGGGGAAUGGGGAAAGUUAUUUUAAAAGUACAGGUGGUUAGUGUAAAUUAUUGAGCACUUCAAAUGUUUUCCCUUGAUAAUUCUAAUCACCUUGUGAAAUCAGUCAUUCACGCUUUUGCAAAACUCUUGAUUUAUUGGGAGCUUUAAUCUAUUAGUUGCAGCUCGGGAGCCAACCGUGCAUUCAUCUCCAUGGGCAGAAAGAGCUGGGCUCAGCCCUGCAGCAGAACUCAGUGCUACAGCUGCUGAGCACGCACCACCAUGACAUGAACGGUGCCAACUCUGAGAGGGAUGCUGAUGCCUGGAGGCACCCCAGCUUGCUGCACCAGGGCUUGGGCCAUGGAGAUGUUCCCUCAGACUCCAAGGGUGUGGGGACCACGGGGCGGUGGCACGGGAAUGAAGGUGUUUUGAAGUGUACCUUGGACAUUAAGCCUCCACAUUGAAUGGGAGGGUUUUGUGCGACUCUUUUGUGCCAGAUGGGUCAGCCACAGAAUGGUGCUAUCAACAUAGGUUGGCUUAGCAAUAGGGAUCAGUGAUUUUGGAUGACACUUCACAGCUUCAGUCAUGAUUCCUUCCAGGCAGAGCCCUCCUCUUGCUGUUCUUCGGGCAUUGACUUUUUUCUACUGUAUUUGGGAAUUUCUCAUCAUCAUUAUUUAGGAAUAGCUCCAGUUUGCUGUGGAUGAUAAUGUUUGUUACCAAGGUGCUUGGGUGCAGCAGUAAGACCAACUGGUGCUAGCUCAACUCUUACAUAAUUAGCAAACACUGUCAAAUCUCAGUCAUCACAAUGAAUGCUAAGGUGAUUUAGGUAAAUGAGGGUUAAGAUAAACAGGUGAUAUUUUAGUGUUUAAUGCAUUAACAUCUUAAUAGCCAUUAAAUGAUUUGACCUCAUUUCUGCUAAGUGAGCAUUUAAUAAACAAGUUUUGACUGCAGUGACAUUGUGCAAAGGUCUCUGUGAGAACUUUGGGCAGACAGAGACCAUCUUUGUGACUGAACAACACUGUGCACAGUGGGGCGUUGCACUGGAUAUGGUAGCAGAGCGUGACAAGGUUUCACGUCUGGAGGCUGCCUAAGAGCAAGGGAGACUGAGCAGGCAUGCAGGAUCCCUGCUCCAUCUGGAUGACCUGCUGCCAGCUGCCAUAGUUAGUUGUAAAGUGUUCCUCAUCUCUUUCUUUUCUAUUUUCCCCUUUUUCUUUUAAUUUCGCCUCCCUUUUCUUCCUUUUUCUCUUCUCUUCUCUUCUCUUCUCUUCUCUUCUCUUCUCUUCUCUUCUCUUCUCUUCUCUUCUCUUCUCUUCUCUUCUCUUCUCUUCUCUUCUCUUCUUCUCUUCUCUUUUUUUCCCCUUAUUCUUUUUUUCUUGACUUAGUUGGACUGCCUGGGGACUUGCCAGAAACUAGGGGCCAGACCUUUUUCUGGGAGUCUUGUCUUUGGCAUCAGUGGAAAAAGGAUUUGCUCUUUAAUGCUCUAUAUUAGAACUACUCAGGCUGCUUGAAUCCUAAUUCAGCUAUUAACACUAGUUUAGGUAACAAGGAUGACAGUAAGGCAGUGGGAUAGGCAGCAGGACCAGGCCCACCUCUCACCCCACUUACCCCUCCACCUGCACUAAAUUCCCCUUGUGGCAACUGUGUGGUUCAGCGCAACACAGAGACUGUCCUGAAAGCUAUUAAACAUGAGAAUGAUGCCAGCUGAGCCUGAAGAGUGGGCACUGAGCACUCCUGGGCAGCCUGCAUCCUCCUGGCCCCAGCACGUGUUGCGCAGAAGAUGCACUCCAGCACAGCUUUCAUGAGCUCUCAAAGAGGCAUCGACUUCUUUUUUUUUUGCAUCUUAGCAAUGUAGCUGCAGACGUAAAACAUAACAGACAUUUAGAAACUGUAUGACUUUCCCUAAUUGUCUGCAACAGUUUCAAGAUAAGUCAUUUUUAAAAGAAUUGCUUUGAACAGAGAUGACUUUAAAACAGACUUCCGUACUUCUUGUUUUUGCUUCUGUCUUGGCACAGAUGCUUACCCUCUCUCCUUUGUAGAGUUAAUUAUGCAAAGGCGAAGAAGCUACACUAACGUUGUAAUUUUGUUUGGCAAGGUGAGCCACAAAACAUAUGCUGUGUCAUGCCUUUUUAUUACCGUGCAAGAAUUGCCAAAGAAGCCUAAGGAGGAAUCAAGGGCAUCAUCGUUGCGAGGAAAAGAGGAAACAGCCCAGUUUUACAACACUGAGGCUUGUAACCGCUUGCGGUAGAUAGUUUCAGAACUGGUUUAAUUUUAAAUUAUUCUUUUGCCAACCGACAGCAGCUUCAGAGUGACUUUUGUUUGAUCCUACCACUUUCUGAUCCCCGUUGAGUCAUUUUACGAUGCCCUGGCAACCAAAGUCCAACCGAUGCAGGCAGCGCCACAGCAGCAACCGCUCUGUCCUCUGUGUGGGGAGAUGGCAUCACCAAAGGUGGCUCUAGCCAGAAAAGCACUGAUCUCCUGUGCCCACGCCGGCUGCUCAAUGUGCUGCUACUAUCCCAAGGGGUGUUUUCAGUUGGAAGGGAUCAAGGAACCCGUUUGGGCUUAAAAUAACUAGGCUGAAAGAUAAGAUUAUGUUCAACUUGGUCUCUUUCCAGCCAGUUUCCUGAGAAGCUGGAGAGAUACAGAAGAAAUGUGGGUUUUGGUAUAUGACAAAUCCACACUGCGACUUCUCCCCACUGCUUUUGUUGCAAUGCCUUUGAGCUCGUGCAAAACUACGGAAAAGGCCACAGAGGGGGAGCUCAGCAGAAGGAAGCCUGGUUUCUCCACCAGAGAUGGAUCAUGUUGAAACACAAGGGUAGCCUCUUCCUUAUUGGAAGCUGGGAUAUUGCCUGUGCUGUGCAGAGAGGAGCCCACAGCAGCAGCCUUUGGGCAAUGGGACACACUUCUGGAGUUGUUAUCAUCUGCCAUCAAACACAGCCCUAGGCCCGAGGAGGGGCUUUAAUGAGCAGGGAAAACACCACAGAAGAACUGGAAAUGUUCCCCCUCAGGUCAGUUUGCUCACCAUUAGUGUUUUCUUACCUCCUCUGCUGUAGGCAAAUGCAUUUUCUGUAUGUAAGAAUUUGCUGAACUGAUAACCGACUUCACAGGGAUGGGAAAGGGCAAGAAUGCUUUCAGAAAGCCUCAGGUUUCCUUAUACAUCCCUGAAAGACAGUCCUCAGUGCAGACACAGCCCCGGACAGCAAAGGCUUGCUAAUGAUGACAAUGCCUGCAAAGAGUAGAAAUGUGAUGGAGAGGUUUGUAAGAGGGGCUUUGAGAGGGAGAGCACUGCACCAGUGUUUCAGGAAUAAGAGGCAGAUCUACUCACAGACACAGGCUAAUGCUCACUGUCCCUCACAUCCUCAGAGACAUAGACUGGUUACAGCAGUCACAGUUUCGGCAGUGUCCAACACAAGCUCAGCCCCACUGCCAUGGCAGCUCCAGGACAACCAUACCUCUAGGGGCAUUGCAAAGGUACCAGCACAUCUGGCAGGCCAGCCUUCAUCCCUGUAUCUUAGGAUGGCAAUAGCGUUCAGCCCAGAUCAGCUCAUUGCUUAAGGGAAAGAAGUGCUGGAAACCACUUCUGAGCUGAGCUCAUCCCAGCAGAGCAGCAUUACCCAUAGCACUUAUCUGCGGUUAUCUGUAGUUGCAGGUGACCUGACAUGAGGCUUAGCUGCACUCACACACUUUAAAUUCGAGGCAGGCAUAAGACAUGAGAUAGGACAUGUUGCUCAUGUAGGAAAAUACCUUCAUGAAUAUUCAAGCCUGAGGACUAGCCUAACGUAGAGAGUUUUUUGGAGCAGUGUGCUGCACACGAGACAUUUAAAAUCCAGACACUCCUCUAACACUUGAAAUCCUUGUACAAGAACUGAUGCGCCCAAAAUCAGGUCUUCACAGGAGCUCCAUUUCCUCUGAGCUGUCCGUGCAACCAACAGACUUACCUUGUAUGGGUGGAAAUACUCUUGAUCUCUGGUGAUCAAAGGCCAGUCUGAAGUGCCUGUCAAAGAGCAAGCAAAACCUCAAGAAGCUGCAGGAGGUGGGGCUCACGUCUCACCAUCUACACGCUCCUUUACACCAAGCCAGUGGUAUAAAAAGUGGAUAUCCAUCCUCCUUUUGCCCCAGAAGCACAGUUUAGAGCAUACUUGGGUCUGCUGGUCACAGUGUGGGUAAUUCCUAGGGGGAUGAAGUGAUACGUGCAGAGGCACUGGCUAAGACCUAGUGGCAGAGGUGCCCCACACAGGUCCAGCUGCCCUGUAGCACCAGUGUGAUCCAGCAGUGUGGCAGGGCAGGUGCUGGGGCAGGAGCUCCUUCCAUCACGCUAAGAUGUCUCUGAGUGAGUCACUGCCCUAUCAUCUGAAAUACUGGGUCAGGUGCUGUAGUUUAAACCCCAGAUGACGGUAGGUGAGCGGAUAGGUGAGCACACCCCUUGCAGUAACAAACCCGUGGGAGGCUGGAAGGUACCUGAGGCCAGGGCAGGUGCUUGUCAAGUGAGUGUGUCAGCGCUCCAGCGCUGGUGGGAACCAUUCCUCUUGGUAUUUGCAUUGCUCUGGAAAAUGAGUUACACUGGUGCUGAAGAGCUAGAAACUUUUGCAUUGACAUAUAUCUUAAUAGCCGAUUAGACUAAAAUAGUCUUGAUGUAAAUGAAAAUUAGACAGUGGCAGUACACAGGAUAAGACUAAUCAGGAUUAUUUGUGAAUUCCCAGUUACAUUUUUGUACAUUUCAUACAUCUGGAAGAGCCAGAAUGAUGUACCAUGUGCUUAUUCUGGCUCUAGAUGUUUUGUUGUUGUUGUCGUUUUGCUGGCAUUAAACCACCUGUUGGGAGACAGACCUUGCCUUAUCCUACAUAAAGGCAGCCAGUACAGUGCUGACUCGUCACCGAGGUUUGAACAAAUGGAAGUUUACUAUCAUACGGAUCAGCACUUUGCACCAGGAAGCCCCAGUGUUUGCUAUCCUUGGAAGCCAUAAAGCCAGGCCUUUUUCUUCCAUCAGUAGCCCACGUGUGCAGGGCUCUAACUGAAAUGGUUUAACACCGGCCCUUUUAUUACACCAGCACAACUCCUUCCCACAGGUUGGCCCUUCACUUGAUGUUACUCAUUGCUUUCUGUUUACACAUAGGAAUUUUAUGUGAUGCAUAAGCAGAUAAGUACUGCAUCUGCUCAGUCAUAUUUCCCCAACACCUCUCCCUUUGUUCUUUUUGCCUUUUAUCCUCUGGGUUUUCUUCGCCAAGGACCCCUGCCCUCACCCAGCCACUGUCCCCUUACUUCUUUAGCUUCACUCUGCCCACCUCUGCUUCUGCAGUAGAGGAAGCUUGCUUGAUAGCAUUAGGCAAUGCCUUUACUAUUUGGUGAUGUUAAUGCUCUCGCUCUGAAUCAAUUUCCUCUUUGUUUGCCUGUGAUGGAAAGCUCCGUGAAAUCUGCAACGGUUUUGCUGAAAUGAGAAAAGGGAAGGACGAGACCUGCAGCCAGGCACUCUGCAGCCCCUCCCAGCUCUCCAGCGCUCAGGGUAGGGGCGCAGGCUGAGUCACUCAGCCCUGCACCAGCAAACACCCGUGGAGGCACAAAAGGGCUGCUGAGAGCAGGCAGCAUGCAGCCAACUUGGAUUAAAGGCCAACUCUGGGAAGAGGGGCUCGUGCCCAGCGAGCCUUGGCUCUUCUGGCUGACUCACCCCGAUUUGCCCCACUCAGACUGAGGCCACACCAUCCUCGGGAGCUCCUGCUCCCCUGAACAGCUUUGGGGAGAGCGGAAGCAGUUGGAGGUAGGCUGGAGAGCCCUGCUCCUGCCUCCUCGCUGGAAACUGCUUUCUUGCUUGCUCACGUGCACACUUGGGUAGUGCACUUGCAAAGACUAUAGGCAUGAAUAUUUACAUUCCCUUGCCAUGGACAUGAAGCUGAAUUCCACCCUCCGGUUGCAGGGUGAAUGAGGUCAGAAACACUGUUUCAGAGAACAGAAAUGCAGAGGUACGGCCAACCAGAUGGGGUGCUGGGCUGCCAUGCAGCUGCACAACCUUUCUAGCAAUUAAUCCACCAGAAAGUGAGGGAGAGAUCGCAGGCUCAGUGCUAACCAGGGGUUUUGGCUCUCUGCUUGGAGGGCUCGCCUGGCAAAGCUGCUCCCUGAGGUCAGCAAGUCUACUGAGCAGAUACCCCAGCACCCUGUGGCGAAGCUCCUCUGCUGGGGGAACACGGCUCGCUUCUGUGAACUACUGCUGGGAAUGCAUGCUAGGAGCACACAGCAGGAAGGAAUGACACAGCUGUACCUUCACACCUUCCAGCACUUUCUUAGAAAAGGGCAGAGCGGUGUGUUUAAAUUCCCUUUUCUUCUUCCCUUGUUCAGCUAGACAAGUCCCAGGCCCUAGCUGGAUGGCACCAACUGGACUGUAUGUCUGGGCACUGCGUCCCACUCAUUUUUAAGGAAAAUUAAGCCCCACCCCGGAGAGUCUGCUCACAGCUCAGGCAGUUCUCUGCUGGACUGGGCUGCCUGGAGCCCGUGUUCUCCACAUCUGAAACCAGACGACCCCAGGAGCAAAGCUCCACGUUUCCAGUCACUGGUUCACAGCCUCUGGCAGUUCCUGCAGGAUGGCUGAAAACAGUGCCAUGGGGCUGGCAGCUUGCCCCCACAGCCAGUGCAUCCCAACCACACCUGCCUUGGACCUGGAGAAGGAAUCCUAUAAUCCCUGUGUGGUCCUUCAGCAUUACCCAGCAUCUCCAUCCCAAACAUUGCGUCUUCCUUCUCCUUCCUGCUCCAUAAUGCAACCACUUAUAUGGAAAAUGAAUCAGCCCUCCUUGGGCAUCUUUCCAAAUGCCCCUCUGACUAAUUCUGCCCAAAACAGCCAGGCUGACCCUGUGCAAUGGCGUGAUCAUGGCAGACAGGACUGGGUCACGUUUGGGUGGAGGAAGGGAAAAACUGUUUUGCAGGCCUGCCCAAAAAUCCUCAUGUUGACUCUGCCAAAACCACACCAAACAUAUGGUAAAUGAAAUAGCUGGCAUGGAGCUGCUUUGGACGGCAGGAGUGUUUCAGCACUGUGGACUGCUCUUUAGCUGUCUUGAAUGUUAUUUACACUGUUUUAAGUAUCUCCACAUUUAAGGGAGAGAAGGCAAAGAAGAGGGCGAUGCCAAUUUUUUUGUGCAUUUGAUGCUUUUUACAUGCACGUUAUUUUUAUAGCCAUGUUAGCACGGUCCCAAUGCUUGCCCUGUCCUGUGGCUGAGAACAGUAACAGCAUUGCAGAAGGUUUCCUCCCCUCUUCGUGUAGCAACAGACUUCGGUGGAAAAGCACACAGAAGCAUUUUCUCUCUCAAAACAGGAGCUGUGCCUAAUUCACCAUAUAAAUGUCCUGCACAUUUCAUGGAGCUGAUGAAAUCAUGUACAGAUGGAAUGCCUCUUAACAAAGGCUUUAUUCACAGGGCAGGUUUCUCUGCCAUGUAUCUUUGACUGUAUUCCAGCUUAUACAGCUAUUCCCAGUGAAUACAUCCAUGGAGCCAGACCAUUUUCUGGGCAGAUACCAAAGGUGGAUGUGCUCAGCUCCCAACACCGCACUGUGGCUUCACUACAAGUCUGAGGCUGGAAGUCAUGCCAAUGAGCAUUCCUUUCCUCACUCUGUAUUGUUCACCUGGACUCAAGCACCCAGUGCCAUUUCCAGGGUUUGUCAGGUACUUUGGAAGAAACACCGCAGGACAACAGAACCUGAGAAAGAGCAUCCAGAGAAGCCAGAGGUCUUCAGUCAUUUGGGAGACGGCCAUAGGAAUGGAGUUGUGGUGGCUACAGCUACAAAAGAUGGAUGAAAAUAAAGCAGCCAAAUGGUGAUGAUCAUGAAAAAAAAAUAAAAAAUAAAAAGUGACUGUUCUUGAGAUCGAGGUAUAGAUUUUUUUUCUUGGAGCUACAGUGGCAGAGUGCCAGCAGGAGAGCUCACCUCCUCACAUAGCAGCUGGCGGGCUGCUGGGCAGCUCUCCACCACCGUUUGCAUGUUUUAACCCUUCCCCAGCCCCAACUCAACCUGUAGCUUCUCCCAUUUGUCCAUAAGCCAUGGCGUCCUGACACUAUUGCACUCUUGAGGGUCCUGUGUAAAAGCAGGCAGGGGCUGCUGGCCUGCUCGCAUGCACACCUUCCCAGUGCUGAAAACUCAACUCCCAAAUCCCCUGUUCAUCCAACAACCUCAUCAUCUAGACAAGGAAAACAGCAGGCUGAUCUAUGCUGCAGAGCACACUUCCUGGCACAGUCCAGUGGUAUUUGCCCAUGAACCCUUCUCUCUGCCUUUCUUUUUUGCCCUUUGUUCAGCGCUCAGUCAGUAACUCCUUAGAAACAACUCGCUAACUGCCCACGCUCAAAACAAGAACAGCAACAACAAAAGGAAUGAUAUAGAGGGAUGACUUCAUCGAGUUUGGAAAUAUCUUCUCAAAUGAAACAUUCCUUUACUCACAUACACAAGAAAGUAUCAAAAUUCUCUGCAGCUGAUGUAAACAGCAGAAAGAAAAAGUCAUCUGGAAGGACAGGAUGAUUCAUACCAAGGACCUGACUGGCAAUAUUCAUCAGUGUUGAAAUCCUCUCUGCAAGAUGACUACAUGCGAAAGCAAAACCAACGAGAUCCCAGCUUUUGCCAUGAGAAGCAUCAUUAACGGCAGAGCAGCGUGGUUAGGCUCCUAAUGCCACAACCCUUGCUCAUGGGAGUAACCCUUGCUCACUCAUCUGACCGGUCGCAGCAAAAAGCCCUGUGUCACCCAGGUGAGAAUGCUUUACAUAAGGGCAGCCACAGCAGCAGGCUGGAUCACGCUCAGCUGUUGCAGCCUAUUUUGCAGAAGGGGCUUUGGAGCAGGAACAGAAAGUUCAAUAGCAAAAGAGAAGGGUUUUUCUCCAUCUUGCCAAAACUCCUUGCUAGGGUUUCCUCGCAGAAAUCCCUGAUUUGAGCACUUUAGGGAGAAUGGAAAGUCCAGCCAAUCUUUCCCUUUAUGUUAAUUGUGUUGAUCCAAAUGGUAACAGGGCACAAAAGGCCGCGCUGACUUUAUGCACUGUUAUGAGAUACUUUCCCCUGCAUAUCUGAAUCUGUUUACUUAAUCUUCCAGGCCUUUACCCAUGAAUAUUAAACUCCUUGAUCACUAUGCAUUAGGAGUCAUCUUUGCACCAUCUGUUUGUAUUUGUCAUCUAACCCUUGUAAAUAAUAAAAUGUACUUUGUUCUCAAGUUCGUGGAUCCUAGCAGGAGAGUGAUUACCACGGAGGAAAAGUACUGUGUGAAGCUAUUAGCAGCCACAGGACUCUCCUUUAGCUCCCUGUCUCCUGUCUGCCCUCUGUGAGACAAAUGUACCAAGUCACAGGUUCCCUAUUGUUCUCCAUAUCAUUCUAUUUCUGCUGCCAACGCAUUCACCACUAUUACGGUCAUUAAACUAAAGCCGAAAACCUACCCCAAAGAGUGACUGUUAGCCUCCUUAGUUUCCUUGUAGUCCCAGAAGAGAUGAUUUCGGGUUCACAUCUCUGAAUACGAUGCAGAAAGUCUUGCUUAUGCAUGUAAAAUGAGCUAAUAGCAGAAGAGAAGGUGAGUUGCAUUCCUGGAUGCCAGUAUUCAGCUGAGAGGUUCAACUGGGAGGUACAGCUCACAAGACGCCAAGCAAACACCAAGGGAAAAAUGCAGAAAGUGCAGUCUCUAGAAUAUAAAAUUAAUCCUUGGAGUUCUGGCUUAAAAUGUUAUGCAGCAGGAAGAGCCUUGCCACAUAUUACUGAGGUUCAGCUUCAACUUCACCAACUGAGACAAGGAGGUUUCACCUGGGAGAGAGGCCCAUAGCUGCAGGUGCUCAUGGGAAGCCACGGCCGCUGGCGGGCACACCUCACACACCAGGAUCUCCCUGCAGCCAGCAGGAGACGUGCCUGGCAGCAGGCUUAUGUCCAUUCACAUCACCCAGUGAGUUGCCUCUCCUUGCUCUUAUAAGUGAACCUGGAUGUCGGGCAACUAUCACCAGUUCUCAGGCAGCUGCAGUCUAUUUAAAACCUAAUGGAGCUGAUUAGAGAAGGGAUCAUUUAGGAGAUGAUAUGGGAUCGUAUUGUAUCUAUCUGAUGUGGUGGUAGCACCAAAUUUAGACAAGAAAAUUGUUGCCAAGUAUUUGCUUAACUGGAAGAGCUGUCUGGGCUCGGACAAGAUACCACUCGCCUCUCUGCUCAGCCUUGCAAACAUCCUACACUAGGAGGUUACCUAUUAAGUGAUACACAAUAGAUCUUUUUAAUUGUUAGAGCGUUACGACCUUAGACUUUGCCCAGGUAUUUAAUAACACCAUCUGCUGUCUAGCUCUGCAAUACUAUUAUUUUUACAUGAGGAUUACUCUUCCUGCUUCACAAACAGCGCUGUAAUAACAGAGCUAAAUAAGAGCACAGCAGCGUGGUACUUACACCCUACUGUCCAAGUAAAACACACAGGAGGUGCAGCUCACCCCAAAUUUCCAGACGCAUUGUCUCCAACCUGGAAGUCUUGAAGUGCUGCAGGCGGAGGAGCUGUGGAUCCAGUCUUGUGGGUUGCACUCAGGAAAAGCUCUCGCCUUGCCUGAGAAAGGGCCAGGAGCAAAAUCCAUCCCUGUGUAGGCUGUCUGCUCCUUGGCUGGCUCUGCUUUUCCCAUUUGCUUCCCCAGAACAACAGCAAUGGUCUGCUGGCCAUGAGCUAGGAGUCACUGUGCCUUCAGGCUUUUUUCUCAUUAAUAACACACUCUUGCAGCACACGCAUUUAGCUCCAAACAGUCAUAUUUAUCUGGUUUUAUAUCUGUAUCUAUAAAGGGUCCAAGGCAAACAGAGAUGUGACCUUUGGCACUUUCAGCUGAAAUGCCUCUGUACCAAUGCACACAUCAUGGGAAGUAAGCAGGAGGAAUUGGAAACUGUGGUGCAAUUGGAAAACUACAAUCUUAUUGCUAUCAUGGAAACACGGUGGGAUGACUCACAAGAGGAAUACCAUGAUUGAGGGCUGUAAACUUUUUAGAAGGGAUAGGCAAAUUGGAGAGGUGGGGGAGUGGCCCUCUUCUUGUUAAGAAGUGGAUAAUCUGCUGAGAGCUGCCCCUGAGAAACAGUCAGGAACAGGUUAAGAGCUUGUGGGUUAAGAUUAGGGACAGGGCCAGUAAAGGGCAUCUGGUGGUCAGGG